GGGAAGGAGAAGAAAUGUUGAGCAUGUUUUUCUGAGACUGGGAGGGUACUGGAAUCAGUCCACACGUGGAGAAUCCAACAUGGUCCGGCAGAGAGAUACCACUCUCCUUAAAAUGAAAAGGAAGGAGGGAAGUAUGAAGAAAACCGAGGUAGAGAGAAUAUAAUCAAUGGCCUUGGAGUCUGCCUUCCCUUACGUUAGAUGAACUCCAGACUUGUUUCAUGUAGUGAAUCAAUAUUUUUUCUUUGAAUAAGCUAGCUUGGUUUACAUUCUGUAACUUCCAAUUUUAAAAAUGCUGAUGGGGUUAUUUUUCAAUAAUAUAGAUCACUAGUGA